rnacentral:rRNA from 1 species
GACGAGUCUCACGAACGUUAUUCGGAAUUACUGGGCUUAAAGGGUGCGUAGGCGGUGAAGUAAGUCGGGUGUGAAAUACCAUAGCUUAACUAUGGAACUGCAUUCGAUACUACUUUGCUAGAGUAAGACAGAGGUGAGUGGAACUGAGGGUGGAGCGGUGAAAUGCGUUGAUAUCCUCAGGAACACCGGUGGCGAAGGCGACUCACUGGGUCUUUACUGACGCUGAUGCACGAAAGCUAGGGUAGCAAACGGG